rnacentral:rRNA from 1 species
GAUGAACGCUGGCGGCGUGCCUAACACAUGCAAGUCGAACGAGAUGCGUAUUGGAAAGCUUCGGCCGGAAGAUGCGUUAUCUAGUGGCGGACGGGUGAGUAACACGUGGGUAACCUGCCUUAUGGAGGGGGAUAACAGAGAGAAAUCACUGCUAAUACCGCAUAAGCACACAUUGCCGCAUGGCAGAGUGUGAAAAGAUUUAUCGCCAUAAGAUGGACCCGCGUCUGAUUAGCCAGUUGGCAGGGUAAAAGCCUACCAAAGCAACGAUCAGUAGCCGAUCUGAGAGGAUGACCGGCCACAUUGGGACUGAGACACGGCCCAAACUCCUACGGGAGGCAGCAGUGGGAAUAUUGCACAAUGGGGGAAACCCUGAUGCAGCGACGCCGCGUGAGUGAAGAAGUAUUUCGGUAUGUAAAGCUCUAUCAGCAGGGAAGAUAAUGACAGUACCUGACUAAGAAGCCCCGGCUAACUACGUG